rnacentral:rRNA from 1 species
UACGGGAGGGGCAAGCAUUAUUCGUAAGUACUGGGCGUAAAGGGUUUUUAGGCUGCUUCUUAUUUGUUUACAAAAACAUAAUAGAAGCUUUUUGUGUUUUAUUUUUAGAGUAAUGGAGGGAGGUUAGAAGUAUUUCUAAUGUAAGGGUAAUAUCUAUUGAGAUUAGUAAAGACUUUCAGGGGCGAAGGCGUCUAACUACAGAUUACUAACGCUGACGAACGAAAGCAGGGGGAGCAAACGGGAUUAGAACCGUACGGU